CGCCGUAGUCAUACGCUCGUCUCAAAGAUUAACCAGCAUGUGUAAGUCUAAAUAGUUUUAGUGUGAAACUGCGAAUGGCUCAUUAUAUCAGUUAUAGUUUAUUUGGAAUAGUUUGUAUAUGGAUAACCGUAGUAAUUCUAGGGCUAAUACAUGUGUUUUCUUUGUUGGGUAACCAGUAAAGAAGUACUUAUUAGACAUAAAACCAUUUUAUAAAAUGGUGAGUAAUAAUAAUUGUUUGACUUUAUCGCAGGCUUUUUUGUAGUAGCGAUGUUCCUUUCAAGUUUCUGCCCUAUCAGCUUUCGAUGGUAGUGUAUUGGACUACCAUGGCAGUAACGGGUAACGAAGAAUUUGGGUUCGAUUUCGGAGAGGGAGCCUGAAAGAUGGCUACCACAUCCAAAGAAGGCAGCAGGCGCGUAAAUUACCCAAUCCUGACACAGGGAGGUAGUGACAAUAAAUCUCAAUACGAAGCCGGUGGUUUUGUAAUUGAAUUGAGAACAAUGUACAAUCGUUAUCGAUAAACAAUUGGAGGGCAAGUCUGGUGCCAGCAGCCG
rnacentral:rRNA from 1 species